AUGCCACCUUCACAGAACCAGUAGCCCGCCGGAAAUUAGCCAUACACGCACGAAAAUCAGAAGGACUGAAAAAUCAGAAAUCUGGAGCGUAUCUUUUCAACAAUAAGACCCCCCCCCCUUUUCGAUCGUUUCUUCUCUUCUCCUUCAAAAGAUCGGCGGAUUUUCACCAGAAAAGGACCCUUCCUCAUCCGUUUCUGAUUUUCUUGAUAAAUAAACGAGAAGCAACAUAAAUUUGACCUUCCUCUCAGAAACCUAGACAAAAUAAAGAACCUCAGGGACUAAAUCAGCCGAAAACCAACAAAGAACACACACACAGUCACACGCCGGAGAUUCACCUUCACAGACUCUUGGUCUCACACGUCCUUCACUCACUGUCGAAGAGAGCCAAAGUGGAUUCGAAUUAUUUCUGGAUUUGGAAACAUAACCCUUCAAAAACUGAAAACAAAGAUAGAAACAAACGGGAAUUUCCCGAUUUCAUGGGAAUUUUGUUAAUUCAUAUGGUUUUCCAGUAAAGUUCAGUCCGUCGAUGUCGAUUCGAGGUCUGUUGUUGAGUUCUUGGUCGCGGUUCCUGUUGAAUCUUGAUUUUCAACAGUUGUUUUUCAUUUCAAGUGUGUCGCCAAGUCUUCUUCUGCUUGUAAUCAUUUCAAACAGAUUUAAUCGAAAGAAUUUUCAGACAUUCUGAUGGUAAAUUGAUUCUCAAGGUCACUGAUGAAUACGAGCUUCUAUCUUUGCAUUGCAAUCUAGUGCUAAUGUUUGGGUUCCUUGUGUUGUCAUUCUCUCUUGAAUCUUAUUGGGUGUAUGUAAAAGCUGAAAUUCUGCACGAGCUUUGCUGUAUAAUGACGUUCGUGUUUUAUAAAGAAGCACAAAUUAGCUUGUCUUAAGCUUUGAUGAUCGGAAUCAAUUAGUUUCAUGUUUUGGCAUCUGAUACACGACCAAUAGGGAGCUUUAUUUGUUCUGAAUGUUGGUAGUAUUGGCCAGUUUAUGUUGAAUAGCCUGUUUGUUAAUAGCGGUUCAACAACAUUGAGAUUCUGUUAAACUUUGAAAUUUUGUAUAGUAAGUGUUAUAUGUUCCUAGUU